AGCAGCCGCGGUAAUUCCAGCUCCAAUAGCGUAUAUUAGUGUUGUUGCGGUUAAAAAGCUCGUAGUUGAAUUUCGGGAUUGGGAUAUAUCGGUCGUGCCUUUAGGGGCAUGAAACGGUGUGUAGCCAAUUUCUCACCUUCUGGUGAGUCGGGAUGCUCUUGGGUGUUUCGAUGAACCAGGACAUUUACUUUGAAAAAAUUAGAGUGUUUAAAGCGGGCAUUUUUGCUUGAAUACAUUAGCAUGGAAUAAUAAAAUAGGACGAUAGUUCUAUUUUGUUGGUUUUAGGACUACGUAAUGAUUAAUAGGGAUAGUUGGGGGCAUUAGUAUUCAAUUGUCAGAGGUGAAAUUCUUGGAUUUAUUGAGGACUAACUACUGCGAAAGCAUUUGCCAAGGAUGUUUUCAUUAAUCAAGAACGAAAGUUAGGGGAUCAAAGACGAUUUAUGUACGUCGUAGUCUUAACCAUAAACUAUGCCGACUAGGAAUCAGACAAAGUUCAUUUUUUAACGACUUGUUUGGUACCUUACG
rnacentral:rRNA from 1 species